rnacentral:sRNA from 1 species
UCCAUAACCUUAAUCAUGGCUGUCAUCUCAUGGCUUCAAAUGUUUAGUUAUUAAGCCAAGGGGCCAAAGGGACAAGCCUAUUAGAUUAACACCAAGAAUUCACCCUGGCCUUAUGGUGACUGUGUCGAUGAUAUGAAUGAUGAGUAUCUGCGAAAGUAUAAUUAUAUCUACGAAUUUUAUUUUUGCAACGAGAUAUGUUACAAUGCUUAUGUCCUUGAGAAAUGCAAGUGUUUAACUACGGAGUAUUCUGAUCUACUUGGUUCACAAGGGAGUGCAGACAAUCAAAGCUUGUGCUCACGUGACUUUACGAGCUAUAACUGCUCCACGGAAGCACUUUAUGAUGACUACGUUUGCCAGUGUAGCAAAGCAUGCAGG